rnacentral:misc_RNA from 1 species
UUCAGCACCCGCUAGAGCUCCUGACGCUUGGAUGGCAGAGCUUGAUGUUGCCUUUUGGGCUUUACAACAAUGUUGCAAAGUUCGCCUUCCACAACAGCGCGUCUAUUGCGGUACGAGUCGGUAUCUCUUCUUAUCCCAUCGCCGCCCGCGGUCUACUUCGUCAGAGUAAUCUGCUUCGAUCGGGCUGCCGAGUUCGGCUCCAG